rnacentral:lncRNA from 1 species
GUUUGUUUAUUCAAUAAUUGUCUGAUGAUUGUGAACUAAGGUAAUGCCACUUGUAAUCACUUAAUUAAAUAAAAUCCUGAUUAAUUAAAGUUAUGUAAUCAACAAGGUCUUUAUAGUUUGAUCUUCUGGUUCAGGUUGGUGUAUAUAAUAAUAAUUAAUUGUAAUUUUUUUUUCAGGUAACAUCACAGGCUUCUAUAACACUUGUUUGGUUUUUUUUU